GACCUGGCCUUGAAAAAAAUGCUAAGCGUGUGUGCUAGGACCUGUACACCAUGGAUGGUUACAGUCAUUGGAAUAUGGCACGUGCCAUAAGGUAUAGUAGUUUUAAAGCUCUGUUUAUGGGUCUGGGUGUGAUUACUACCACUGUAGUACAUUUUAUUUUGUUUGCAGUAGUGCCUCUUCCUUUCUAGUAAGACCGAGCUAUGGCAUUGUUUGUGGAAUCUUACCCUGUAUGUGUUCUGAUGAUUGGCAAUGUUCAACUGCUCUGAAACAAGUGAUUGAAAAAUAGCCUUUCUGAACAUUUUAAGUAGUUUUUGCAUUUGUUUUGCUUAUUUUCUUGUAGUAAUUGUCUUACUUUAUGCAUUUGUUUUCCCCUUCUCCAGGAAA